UACGUAGGGCGCAAGCGUUAUCCGGAAUUAUUGGGCGUAAAGAGCUCGUAGGCGGUUUGUCGCGUCUGCUGUGAAAACCCGAGGCUCAACCUCGGGCCUGCAGUGGGUACGGGCAGACUAGAGUGCGGUAGGGGAGAUUGGAAUUCCUGGUGUAGCGGUGGAAUGCGCAGAUAUCAGGAGGAACACCGAUGGCGAAGGCAGAUCUCUGGCCCGAUACUGACGCUGAGGCGCGAAAGCUAGGGGAGCAAACGGG
rnacentral:rRNA from 1 species